GAUGAACGCUGGCGGCGUGCCUAAUACAUGCAAGUCGAGCGAACAGACGAGGAGCUUGCUCCUCUGACGUUAGCGGCGGACGGGUGAGUAACACGUGGAUAACCUACCUAUAAGACUGGGAUAACUUCGGGAAACCGGAUCUAAUACCGGAUAAUAUAUUGAACCGCAUGGUUCAAUAGUGAAAGACGGUUUUGCUGUCACUUAUAGAUGGAUCCGCGCCGCAUUAGCUAGUUGGUAAGGUAACGGCUUACCAAGGCAACGAUGCGUAGCCGACCUGAGAGGGUGAUCGGCCACACUGGAACUGAGACACGGUCAAGACUCCUACGGGAGGCAGCAGUAGGGAAUCUUCCGCAAUGGGCGAAAGCUUGACGGAGCAACGCCGCGUGAGUGAUGAAGGUCUUCGGAUCGUAAAACUCUGUUAUUAGGGAAGAACAAAUGUGUAAGUAACUAUGCACGUCUUGACGGUACCUAAUCAGAAAGCCACGGCUAACUACGUG
rnacentral:rRNA from 1 species